rnacentral:ncRNA from 1 species
CGGUAUUGAAGCCCAGGCGGAGCUCGGCGGCCCACACAAGUGAUGGUCAAAUUCAUCGACGAUGAAAAAGAAAAAUAUGGGGCCCUUUCGAUUUGUAGAAUACUGCCAAUUGCCCCA